rnacentral:piRNA from 1 species
UGGGCAUUCAGAGAGUCUUAUCUUGGCC